rnacentral:rRNA from 1 species
AAAUGUUGACCUCGGAUCAGGUAGGAAUACCCGCUGAACUUAAGCAUAUC